AAUAGAUACCCCGGUAGUCCACGCCGUAAACGAUGUCGACUUGGAGGUUGUGCCCUUGAGGCGUGGCUUCCGGAGCUAACGCGUUAAGUCGACCGCCUGGGGAGUACGGCCGCAAGGUUAAAACUCAAAUGAAUUGACGGGGGCCCGCACAAGCGGUGGAGCAUGUGGUUUAAUUCGAUGCAACGCGAAGAACCUUACCUACUCUUGACAUCCACGGAAUUUAGCAGAGAUGCUUUAGUGCCUUCGGGAACCGUGAGACAGGUGCUGCAUGGCUGUCGUCAGCUCGUGUUGUGAAAUGUUGGGUUAAGUCCCGCAACGAGCGCAACCCUUAUCCUUUGUUGCCAGCGAUUCGGUCGGGAACUCAAAGGAGACUGCCAGUGAUAAACUGGAGGAAGGUGGGGAUGACGUCAAGUCAUCAUGGCCCUUACGAGUAGGGCUACACACGUGCUACAAUGGCAUAUACAAAGAGAAGCGACCUCGCGAGAGCAAGCGGACCUCAUAAAGUAUGUCGUAGUCCGGAUUGGAGU
rnacentral:rRNA from 1 species